AAAAAAUUUUACAAAAUUUGAAAAAACUAAGGAUUUCCAGAUGAGAUCAUCCUGGAAUUAGGGGGGGCCCUAAAUCCAACGACCGGGUCCUUAGAAGAGAAAGGGAAGGAGUGGAGAAUGAGACACAGAGGGAACCACAUGAAGACGGAGGCAGGAGGGGAGUGGGUGCUGCAUCUUACAGGCCCAGGAACACGCAGGGUGACCGGCAACCACCAGAAGUUAGGGGAGAGGCAUGGAGCGAAUUUUCUCUCAAACUCCAGAAGGAACCAACCUUGCUGACAUCUUGAUUUCUGACUUCUGGUCUCCAGAACUGUGAGAGCAUAAAGCCAUCCAGUGUGCUGGUUUAUGACCACAGCCCUAGAAACUAACAUGGCUUCAUAUGGUGAUCGUAGGUGUUGGAAAAGGACCUCCUGGUUGACUCGGGCUGCCAUAACAGAACAUCACAGACUGAGUGAACACUUCCGGAGGCUGCAAAUCCACGAUCAAGGUGUCGGCUGGGUUGGUUUCUGGCUCAACCCUGUAACCCUGUGCAAGUAUCCAAGUCCUCCACCCUCCAGGCAUGGGGGCCAGCCUUCUGGAUAGCUAGAUGCCACGGCUCUACUGUGGAUCACCGAGAGACAUGAUGGGUCAGCCCAGGGCACUGUAGGAAGGCAGGAAGCGGCCCUGACCUGAAUGUGGAUGAGCUUAGGAGCUGAGGAAUCAUUUAUUCACUCAAUAUGUAUCGGGCACUGCCUCCUAUGACCCGGUGUGGGGAAGGCACAAGAGAAUGAGAUGGUGCGGCACAUUCUUCUGGAACUUUCAGACACAGACAAUAAGCACGAAAACAAACAAAAUCAUUCCAGACUGUGACUUGCCUUCUGGACAUUUCGUAUGAGCGGAGUCACAGAACAUGUGGAUUUUUGUGACUGACUUCUUUCACUUUCCAAGGCUCAUUCAAGCUACAGGAUGUAUCUCUACUUCAUUCCGUUUUACGGCCAAAUGAUAUUCCAUUGUAUGAAUGUAUCACAUUUUACUUUUCCAUGUGUCCAUUGAUGGACAUUUGGGUUGUUCCCACCUUUUGACUAUCCUGAAUACAUCCUGCUGUAAACAUUCAUGCACAACUUUUUCUGUGGAUAUAUGUUUUCAUUUCUUUUGGGUGUAUAUUUAGGGGUAGAAUUGCUGGGUUAUAUGGUACCUCUCUGUUUAAUCAUUUGAGGAACCAGCAAACUGUUUUCCAAAGUCACUACACCAUUUUCCAUUCCUACAGGGCUGUAUGAGAAUAUAGUUAGCUAUUAAUGCACAACAAAUCACUCCAAAACUUAGCAGGUUAAAACAAUAAACAUUUGGGGUGCCUGGGUGGCUCAGUCCAUUAAGUGUCCAACUUCAGCUCAGGUCAUGAUCUCGCGGUGCUUGAGUUCAAGCCCCGCGUUGGGCUCUGUGCUGACAGCUCAGAGCCUGGAGCCUGCUUCCGAUUCUGUAUCUCCCUCUCUCUCUGCCUCUCCCCUUCUCGUGCUCUC